UUUUCAUUUCAUGAUCUCUUUCAAAGACCCGUGGAAGGUGUAAGUUGGUCCCUUAAGAUUGUGAGAUCUCUCGGACUUCUCCAUGCCUCGCAUCUCAUACAUGAGAUUAUAAUCUGAUUUUUAAUAAAAAUCUGUGAAUUGAUUUGGUUCAAAUUAGAUCUAUUCAUUGGCCCUGCUCAAAAAUAUAUUGUCUUAUGCUUUAACCCAAACCAACUGACGAAUAG
rnacentral:lncRNA from 1 species